rnacentral:rRNA from 1 species
GACGAACGCUGGCGGUGUGCCUCACACAUGCAAGUCGAGCGGAUUUACUUAGGAGCUUGCUCUUAAGUAAGUUAGCGGCGGACGGGUGAGUAAUGCGUAGGAAUCUACCCUAAGGUAGGGGAUAACGGGCUGAAAGGUCCGCUAAUACCCCAUAUGCGGGUUCUCUUCGGAGGAUUCGUGAAAGGAGCAAUUCGCCUUUGGAUGAGCCUGCGUCCGAUUAGCUAGUUGGUAAGGUAAAAGCUACCAAGGCUUCGAUCGGUAGUUGGUCUGAGAGGAUGAUCAGCCACAAUGGGACUGAGACACGGGCCCAUACUCCUACGGGAGGCAGCAGUGGGGAAUUUUACGCAAUGGGACGAAAGCCUGACGUAGCGACACCGCGUGAG